rnacentral:rRNA from 1 species
AUUGAACGCUGGCGGCAUGCUUACACAUGCAAGUCGAACGAGUGGCGAACGGGUGAGUAAUGCAUCGGAACGUGCCCAGAAGUGGGGGAUAGCCCGGCGAAAGCCGGUUAAUACCGCAUGUUUUGGAGCGGCCGAUGUCAGAUUAGCUAGUUGGUGGGGUAAAGGCCUACCAAGGCGACGAUCUGUAGCUGGUCUGAGAGGACGACCAGCCACACUGGGACUGAGACACGGCCCAGACUCCUACGGGAGGCAGCAGUGGGGAAUUUUGGACAAUGGGCGCAAGCCUGAUCCAGCCAUGCCGCGUGCGGGAAGAAGGCUUCGGGUUGUAAACCGCUUUUGUCAGGGAAGCGGUACCUGAAGAAUAAGCACCGGCUAACUACGUGCCAGCAGCCGCGGUAAUAC